GAAUUACUGGGCGUAAAGCGCACGUAGGUGGGUUAGUAAGUUGUUGGUGAAAAGCUCGGGCUUAACCUGGGUCUGUCCAGCAAAACUGCUAGUCUAGAGUGUAUUAGAGGGAAGUGGAAUUUCCGGUGUAGCAGUGAAAUGCGUAGAUAUCGGAAGGAACACCAGUGGCGAAGGCGACUUCCUGGAAUACUACUGACACUGAGGUGCGAAAGC
rnacentral:rRNA from 13 species